CAUGCCGCGUGGAGGAUGACAGCCUGUGGGUCGUAAACUCCUUUUCUCAGAGAAGAAGUUCUGACGGUAUCUGAGGAAUAAGCAUCGGCUAACUCCGUGCCAGCAGCCGCGGUAAGACGGAGGAUGCAAGCGUUAUCCGGAAUGAUUGGGCGUAAAGCGUCUGUAGGUGGUUUAGUAAGUCUACUGUUAAAGAUCAGGGCUUAACCCUGAGUCGGCAGUAGAAACUACUGAGCUUGAGUACGGUAGGGGCAGAGGGAAUUCCCGGUGUAGCGGUGAAAUGCGUAGAGAUCGGGAAGAACACCAAUGGCGAAAGCACUCUGCUGGGCCGAAACUGACACUCAGAGACGAAAGCUAGGGGAGCGAAUGGGAUUAGAUACCCCAGUAGUCCUAGCCGUAAACGAUGGAUACUAAGUGCUGUGCGACUCAAAACGUCCAGUACUGUAGCUAACGCGUGAAGUAUCCCGCCUGGGGAGUAUGCUCGCAAGAGUGAAACUCAAAGGAAUUGACGG
rnacentral:rRNA from 1 species